rnacentral:tRNA from 1 species
GUGGGUAUAGCUAAGUGGUAGACAGCAUGCUUAGCAUGCCCGAGGUCCUGGUUUCAAUCACCAGUACCUCCA